UUUUUUUUUUUUUGGUCAGCAAAAUGAUCAAUUUUCCUGUCACUUUUAAGUUGUGAUGGGCAGGUUUCUGAUACUGAUGGCAGUGUUCAUGAAUAUGCAAAGAAAUAAAAGUAAGGAAGUUCAGUAUCACUUCCAUACUUGGCGUGUAUGCACUUUUCUUACAGAAUGGCCUAUAACAUAACUAUUUACUGAUGCUACUAGAUGAGUGUCUGCUGAACUUGGAAUUGAUUUCUGGAAGCCAUGGGACAAGAAUGCCUGCUCUGACACCCAGUGUCAUGAAUAGAUUUGCUUAGUUCUGCAACACUUAAUUAGCUUACCUGAUUUUAGACAGACAUGACAUUUACACUGUGAGGUUUGCACUCUAGCUCAAUAGGUGAAUCAGCUAGCUGAGCUGUGGUAAGACUCUACUACAGUGCUCUUUCUGAAAUUAUGCAUCUAAAUUGCAGAAGGUCUCAAACUAAUUACUCUUUUUAUCCAGCAGUGUUGUCAGAAACAAAGUGACAAGUGCAGGUAUUAUUAAAUAUGCUAUUCACCUAUUAUCUGUUUAAAAAACCAAAACAACAACAGCAACAACAAAAAAACAAUCCUUAUAAAACAAACCUCAAAGUCAACACACAUCAAAUACAAAUUCUUUAACUAUCAGCUAGUGUAACCUGUAGUCCUGGUAACCUGUAGCUACAGGUUUGAUGCAAGAUACUCUGAACACUUGAUUAGCAUCCUAGAUUUCUAUUGAUUUACAGAGGAUUGAAAUAGGCUUUUGUGUUUAGUCCUAGCAACCUUAAACUAUGUAAGGUUUUUGGCUCACUCAGUCUUCUUCACGCUUGAAUUGACAUUUUCUUAGGCUUGGAAAAGUACUUUUUCACAUCUAUUUAACUAUUGUUGUUUCACAACUAUUCAACAUCUUUGUUUGCAGUGUGGGCAGUGGGAUUGAAUGCAAAUUCAUCAAGUUUGCAUUCAACUUACUGGAGGGAAGAGGUGCCAUCCAGAGAGACCCGAACAGGCCUGAGAAUUGGGCUCAUGUAAACCUCUUGAAGUUCAACAAGGGCCAAGUGCAAGGUUCUGCACCUGGGUUGGGUCAAUCCCAAGUACAAAUACAGCCUAGGCAGAGAUUGGUUUGAGAGCAGCUCUGACGAAAAGGUCUUGGGAUACUGGGUGAUGAGAAACUCAACAGGAGCUGACAGUAUGCACUUGCAACCCAGAAAACCAACCGUAUCAUGUAUUGCAUCAAAAGAAUUGUAGCCAGCAGGUCAAGGAAGAUGAUGCUUCCUAGUCUCUCACUUACCUGCAGUCCUGCAUUUAGCUCUGGGGCUACCAUGAUAAGAAGUGCAUGGAGCUCCUGAAGCAGGUUCAGAGGAGGAUCACAAAGAUGAUCAGAGGGCUGGAGCACCUCUCCUAUACAGGCAGGCUGAGAGAGCUGGGGUUCAGCCUGGAGAAGAGAAGAAUCCUGAGAGACCUUACUGUGGCCUUCCAGUUUCUAAAGAGGGCCUACAAGAAAGCUGGGGAGGUUCUUGUUAUUAGGGAAUGUAGUGCUAUAACAGGGGAUAAUUAAUUUAAACUAAAAAAGGGGAGAUGUAGACUAGAUGUUAGAUGGAGUUUUUUAAAUCAGAAGGUCACAAGGCACUGGAACAGGCUGCCCAGAGAAGCUGAGGAUGACCCCUCCCUGGAAGUGUUCAAAGCUAGGUUGGAUGAGGCUUUGGGCAAUUAGGUCUAAUGGAAAGAGUUCCUGUACAUGGCAGGGGUUUGGAACUAGAUGAUACUUAGGGUCUAUUCCAACCUAAAUCAUUCUAAGAUUCUAGGAAAAGCUGCUUGUUUGAGCAACAGGGAAAACAAUGGUAUAUAGUAGAUUAAGAAGCUUCUCCAUCUAAAAUUGCUUGAGACCAAAUUCUGGAUUAACACAUUCCUUCUGUAUACAGUACAGGUGAAAUUUAGGGAAUAAUAAUGAAUCCAUAGCUGAUGACAAUUUUAUGUAAAGUAAGAUUUCUUUUAAGGGAAAUGAGUAGUGUUCCAGUUUAUAUGCUUCAGUGGUUAGCAGAGAUCUACAGCCAUGGGGAUGAGAGUGACGUAGUGUGGAUAGCAAUGAAGCAAAGCAGUAAGGGGAAACAAUAGGAUGACCAAACACUGGUAAACAUCAUCAGGAGCAAAAGAUAAACUCAUUAUUUACCUGGAGCUGCUGGAGUGGAAGAACAAGAGAAGUUGUAGUCUUUCUCUCAGAGAGGAAAAG
ensembl:lncRNA